rnacentral:lncRNA from 1 species
GCUUUAUUUCUUUUACUUUACAAAUUAAUCCAUUUUGGUGGCAGGUUUCUUUCAAUGCAAAAUCUACGUAUAACAAGUUAAACGAUUGCAAUAUUGUAUGUUUUUAAUUGUUCUCAACAACAAUGUGUAGCAUUAAAUAAGUUUAUUAGAUUAAUAAUAUUCUUGUAUAAUAAAUAAUACUAGAGGCUCUCACAUGACUAUCGUCUCUAUACUUGAUAUAUGCUUCAUGAACAAUGUUUUGAAAAUCAGAAGAAAAAAAAAUAGCUUUAGAAUAUUAAUCUGUCUCUCGUCAUACUUAAAGUCUUAAAAUCAUGCGGGAGAGGGUAAAACAAUUUUUCGAUUGCUUAUUGUGCUUUUCGGACGUCCCUCUAGUGCUUAGUGUCGACAAUUUUUACGUCUUUCGAUUACUCUAGAUCUAUGAUUAUUUCAUAUGACUUGCCAAAUUCGUCCCAACUCCGUACUUUUCUUCUAAGCAUUCGUCUAAACUCGGUCGAUUCCGUACCCUCAUCUAAGGAUAGAAGGAGAGUAGCGGAUUCUACCGAGGAUUGUUGAAUGUCAUCUAAGAAGAAGACGAGUGGCGGAUUCACCCGAGGAUUUCCGAUUGUGACGAGCCACAGAAAAACAAUGCAUUUGCCAUUAUGCCUAAUCAGACCAUACAUAAAUCUUAUCAUUUUCGGUCAUUAUCAUUAAUCAGUACGAGUUAUAUAAAAACACCGGAUCGGCAACUACCAAUGUAUUCAAAUUUUAGCAAAGAUUUUUUUAUUGCCAAAAUUGAUUCUGUCGGGUCCAUUGUUAGCCACGUGACAAUAUCAUGUAGAGCAUAUAAGGACCAUACGAAUACGAUAAAAAUAUAGUAACUUUCGAUGAUGUAUUUUUUCUAUUUUUAGCCAAAUUUUGUUUCAAGAUUUGCAAGGCGUGAAUGAUAGUUACUGUUUACAUUCCAAAGUAUCUGCGAAAAUAUGUCGAGUUACAAUAUUUCGUUUCUUUAAAUUAUCUGUACUAUGAGGGUUUGGAUGGGGUUAAAUGAUUAAAGAAUAAUGCCCUUAAAAAAUGAAGAUUAGAGAAUAAUGAGCCAAAAAAUAGAAGAUUAGAGAAUAAAAGGGUUAAUUUUUGGAAGAUUAGAGAAAAAAGGGGUUAAUUUUUUAAAGAUUAGAGAAAAAUGGGGUGAAAAUUAAAUGUUUACAGAAUAACAGACCCCCCCAUCCAUACCCUCUACUAUGGUAGAUUUUAGCAAUACCAAAAGGUCAAUAGAAUCCUUCAAAAUCAGUUUCUGUUUCACAGAUACUUAAAAACUUUCGACUCGAAUAAUUCGUCAGUUCUAUCAGUGACAAGCAAUUUCAGAAAUGUCGGGAGUGUAGAUACCAAAAUCGUAUUCUUUCAUAUAUCAUGCACAUCCAAUGUUUUCAUAUAUAUGUAUAAUAUCAUUCAGUUUUUGCCAUUAUUCUCAUACUAUUUAUGUAUCAAUAUCAAUUUCAUUAAAUUAAUAUCAAAACCAG